rnacentral:tRNA from 1 species
UGGGUUGUGGCUCAGUGGUAGAGUACUCACCUAGCACAUGAGAGGCCCUGAGUUUGAUUCUCGGCGCCACAU